AGGCUAUUUUCGUAAUUGAGUCGACACAACCUUCAUAUAAAUACAGCAACCUUCAUCCAUUGUUUUCAUCCUUACCUAUUUGCUUGCAAAGCAAAAUUUCCAAACGCUCUUUUCUUUCUUCUUCGACAAUUCUACGAUUCAUUCAAGAUGCAAAUCUUUGUGAAAACAUUGACUGGCAAAACUAUCACCCUCGAGGUGGAGAGUUCUGAUACCAUAGACAACGUUAAAGCUAAGAUUCAAGACAAGGAAGGUAUUCCUCCCGAUCAGCAAAGGCUUAUAUUUGCUGGUAAACAAUUGGAAGAUGGCCGCACCCUUGCGGAUUACAACAUCCAAAAGGAAUCCACCCUUCACCUUGUGCUGCGAUUGAGAGGUGGCAUGCAGAUAUUUGUGAAGACAUUGACCGGAAAAACAAUCACCCUUGAGGUUGAAUCAUCUGAUACAAUUGAUAAUGUCAAGGCCAAGAUCCAAGACAAAGAGGGUAUCCCUCCUGAUCAGCAGAGGCUUAUCUUUGCAGGGAAACAGCUCGAGGAUGGAAGAACCCUAGCUGAUUAUAACAUCCAGAAGGAAUCUACCCUUCAUCUGGUGCUUAGAUUAAGAGGUGGAAUGCAGAUUUUUGUAAAGACUUUGACUGGAAAGACUAUUACUUUGGAGGUGGAGAGUUCAGAUACUAUUGAUAAUGUGAAAGCUAAGAUUCAAGAUAAGGAGGGUAUCCCUCCAGAUCAGCAGAGGCUUAUCUUCGCCGGUAAGCAAUUGGAAGACGGGCGCACGCUCGCUGAUUACAACAUUCAAAAGGAGUCCACCCUUCAUUUGGUUUUGCGGCUUCGUGGUGGUAUGCAAAUUUUUGUAAAGACCCUUACCGGAAAAACUAUUACUUUGGAGGUUGAGAGUUCAGAUACUAUUGAUAAUGUGAAAGCUAAGAUUCAGGAUAAGGAAGGCAUCCCUCCUGAUCAGCAGAGACUUAUCUUUGCAGGGAAACAACUUGAAGAUGGAAGGACCCUUGCUGAUUAUAAUAUCCAAAAGGAAUCCACUCUGCAUUUGGUUUUGCGGCUUCGUGGUGGUAUGCAAAUUUUUGUAAAGACCCUUACCGGAAAAACUAUUACUUUGGAGGUUGAGAGUUCAGAUACUAUUGAUAAUGUGAAAGCUAAGAUUCAAGAUAAGGAGGGUAUCCCUCCCGAUCAGCAGAGGCUUAUCUUUGCUGGUAAGCAGCUUGAAGAUGGAAGGACCCUUGCUGAUUAUAACAUUCAAAAGGAAUCGACCCUCCAUUUGGUUUUGAGGCUUCGUGGUGGUAUGCAGAUUUUUGUGAAGACUCUUACCGGAAAGACAAUAACUUUGGAGGUUGAAAGUUCUGAUACAAUUGACAACGUGAAAGCAAAGAUUCAGGACAAAGAGGGCAUUCCUCCAGACCAGCAGAGGCUAAUUUUCGCGGGCAAGCAGUUGGAAGAUGGCCGUACUCUGGCUGAUUAUAAUAUCCAGAAAGAAUCUACUCUGCAUUUGGUUUUGAGGCUUCGAGGUGGGAUGCAAAUAUUUGUGAAGACUCUUACCGGGAAGACUAUUACCUUGGAGGUGGAAAGCUCUGAUACGAUUGAUAACGUGAAAGCGAAGAUACAGGAUAAGGAGGGUAUUCCACCAGACCAGCAAAGGCUUAUUUUUGCUGGCAAGCAGUUGGAGGAUGGUCGUACUUUGGCAGAUUACAAUAUUCAGAAAGAAUCUACCCUGCAUCUUGUUCUUCGCCUCCGUGGUGGCUACUAAGUGUGUCCCUUUAGUAUGUAUGUUGUCUGUGUUACUGUGGUUGUCUAAUAAAUGAUGUUUAGGUUGCUGUCCAGUCCCUUCAGUAUGUGUUAAGAAAUAUUGAAAUUUCAUGGCUUUUCUUUUCUGGUUUAUUUUGACUUCCUCCUGUGUGAUUUUGCUUUUUUGUUUUUUAAAAUUUGCUAUUUGCCCAAGUUAUCUAUUUUGCAGUAUUAAAUCGUGUA